UUUUUUUUAAAAAAAAUUUUGGCCUUUUAAUUUCAGUGCAGCGUCUUUUUUUAAAUACGGAGUACAAUUAUUUUUUCCCUUUUUGGCUGUUACAAGUAUUUCUUUUCCUCUAUUGCUCUUCAUUUGUUUCUUAAAUACGGAAUACUUAAUUCUUCAUUCCCAUUUCCUAUAUCUCAAGAAGCCUAAACUCCAUAAUCAUUUUCGCAUUUGCUCUGCAUAUAAGAUUCAAGGAAAAGGCAUGCAACAACUCCAAUAGACAUUAUAGCACACAAAUCUGUUAACCAAUAUGAACUACAUUAGCCUUCUAUUACUUCAAUUUAAAGUUGUAAUAUUAAUUUGUCUUUGUAGAUAUUAUCAGUCAUACUCUAUUAUUUAAGUUGUCUGCACUAAAUAUAAAUACUCUAGCCAAGUACUAUUUUAUUGAAUAAAUGGAAAUAGCCAAAUAGGGAAUAUUGUAUUUUCUGCUAAUUUUGUCAUUGUAUAUCUAUCAUUAGUAAUGCAUAAAUAUUAUGAUCAAAAUGAUCACCAA